GUGGCGUUAGUUCAGUUGGCAGAACACUUGGCUCAUAACCGAGUAGUCGUGGGUUCAAAGCCCUCACGCCGCA
rnacentral:tRNA from 1 species